UACGGAGGGUGCAAGCGUUAUCCGGAUUUACUGGGUUUAAAGGGUGCGCAGGCGGAUAUGUAAGUCAGUGGUGAAAUCUCCGGGCUUAACCCGGAAACUGCCGUUGAUACUAUAUAUCUUGAAUGCCGUGGAGGUAAGCGGAAUAUGUCAUGUAGCGGUGAAAUGCUUAGAUAUGACAUAGAACACCGAUUGCGAAGGCAGCUUACUACACGGAGAUUGACGCUCAUGCACGAAAGCGUGGGGAUCAAACAGG
rnacentral:rRNA from 1 species